AUGAAGAAGGGGGGGCUGCUGCGGUGCGUGUCGACGGGGGCGUGCAGGGUGGCGCCGGGGGCCGUGGCGGAGAUGGCCAUCUCGCCGUCGGCGUCGGGGAAGGUGGGCGCGGAAGGGGAGGAGACGGAGCGCUUCCUCGUGCCGGCCGAGCUGCUGGGCCGUCCGCCCAUCGCCGAGCUGCUCCGCCGGGCCGCGCAGGAGUACGGCUACGCACGACGCGGCCCGCUCCGCAUCCCCUGCCCCGUCGCCGCCUUCCGCCGCCUCCUCGGCGCGCUCGCCGGCGGGGACAGGGGCCACACGCCCGUCUACUACGCCGUCGUCGUCUGA
rnacentral:rRNA from 1 species